rnacentral:miRNA from 1 species
AGAAGAAGAAAAGUAGAA